GUUGUUCAUCGAGAGUCGCAAAAUGGUGGCUUCUGCUAUACGCGGAGAAAUUUUGUUGUACCAUUAAGAACAGAAAAAACACGCAUUUGUGGUAAUAAAAUAUAGUGAAUUAAUCGUGUAAAACAUUAAAAAGGCCCUGCAAUUGGAAUACGCGUGUGGAAGUGUGCACAAAUCGUGUCUUUUUUGUGGGAAGACUGCGAAAAUAUUUCUGAAACUCUUCUCCUCGGUAGGCAGCAAUAAAAAAACGCAAAGCAAGCAAGCGAAGUGCGUGAGUGUUAGUGUUGGUGUUAGUGUUUGUGUGUAUGUGAGUGUGUAAGUGCUUGUGCAUGUGUAUGGCGAGCGUGUGCGUGUGUGUGUGUGCGCAAAGUGUAUGCAAAAAAGAAGAAGACAAAACAGAAGAGCAUUAAAAAACGUAUUGUUGCCCACUACUACUGACAACUUUUACGCGGCGCACACACAACGACGACAACGAAGUAGCAGCCGCAGCAGCAACAAAAACCAAGCAAACCAACAACAACGACGACGACAGAAAAUUUACAAUUCUCAUUGUCUCUCUCUGUCUCGCAAAUCUGUGCUUUGUGCAAAUUAACCAAAAUAUACAUUUCCGGCUGCCCAAAUCAUCCCCCUCCUGCUCUAUCCGCCCCCUCCUUCGCCCACACUUUCUGUGCAUUAAGCAAGAACAACUCCAACAACAGCAAGGAAUUGCGUCGCAGUUAACGCCUCAGCAUCAACAUCACCAAGUAACGGGACCCGGCUAAGACAACGACAACGAUACCCGACCCAAGUGGGAGCUAGAGCGAGAGGCAACACACAUUUAUAUUGGAUUCAUGUUGAAUUUUCAUAUCAUAGCGGGCAUAAAAAGGCUUAACACUGGACCGGAAGCGUGUUUUUAAAGGGUGAUGGCGGCCUCCACUCAAGGAGAAAUACGAGUGGGUCCCGGCCACCAGGUAAACGAUGUCUAUGCAAAACUGCCCGAUUAUAAUCCAAUCUCAAGCUUCCCCGUUGACAAGGAAACCGAUGAACGUGAACUAGAGGAAACAAGAUGGAGUCCAGGCGUUGUGGCCGAUGGCGACUUGUUAAUGUUUCUGCGUGCCGCACGCUCCAUGGCUGCAUUUCAAGGAAUGUGUGAUGGCGGUUUAGAAGACGGUUGUUUGGCUGCCAGUCGCGACGACACAACAAUUAACGCACUCGACGUGCUACACGAUUCUGGCUACGAUCCAGGCAAAGCUCUACAAGCGCUCGUAAAGUGCCCCGUUUCGAAGGGCAUUGACAAGAAGUGGACCGAGGACGAAACGAAAAAGUUCAUCAAGGGUCUUCGCCAGUUUGGCAAAAAUUUCUUCAGGAUCCACAAGGACCUGUUGCCGCACAAGGACACACCGGAGCUGGUCGAAUUCUACUAUCUGUGGAAGAAGACGCCCGGCGCCAACAACAAUCGCCCCCAUCGGCGACGCAGACAGAGCGCAUUGCGUCGCAAUCGUGUCACGCGCGCCAAUAAUAGCACACCUCCCAAAAAGGAGGACACCCCGGAACCACAAGCUGCGACGACGGCGACGGCGGCGGCGUCGGCUGCAGACACGGCUGCGAGUCGCUCAUCGCCCGCUGUCUCCAAGGAGGAGAACAGUUCUCUCACCGAGGACGACGCCAGCGAGUGUGACAGUGAUUCGAGUCUGACCAACAAAAGGGAUGAAUCACCCUCUAGGAUGAGGACGCGUAAUAAACAACAGAAUAACAAUAACAACAACAACAGCAGCAGCGCCAGCAAUGCAUCCGGUGGUGGUGGCGUUGGCGGUGGAGGAGGUGCCUCCGCUGCUGCUGCAGCUGCCGCUUCGGUUAAUGCCUCUGGCAACACUGGCAGCGGCGGCAAGGAUCAAUCCUCGGGUGGCGCUGGCAAUGCCAACAGCAGUUCGGUAGCCAACGGCAAACGGCCCAAGCGGGGCUCUGAGACGCCAGACGCUGCGGCAGCUGCCGCCUCGGUCGAUAGUCCCAAGACGCCGACCAAGAGCGUGGCGGAGGGAUCCAGCAAUAAGCGCAAGGGCGGCAAACAGGAUACGCCGAACAAGAAGAAGCGCACCGAGACGGAGACGAACAGUAGCAGCGAGCAGACGAACAACAGCAACGACGACAACGCCAUCAAGGACACCAUAAAGCAACGCAAGCGUCCCGACAGUCCGGUCGAGAGCAUGAACUCCGAUUCACGUCCGGAUUCGGUGCUCGACGAUGGCGAAUCGAAUACAACGGACACGGACGGACGCACAGCGGAGCAGCAGUCCAGCAAGGAUGGCAAAGAGCUCAACUGCAAGGAGGAGAGCGCUGUGACGUUGCCGGGCGAGUUGGAUGCUAAGUCAGAGUUGAACGAGAAACCAAUCAAAAUGGAAACAUCCUGCGCCGACGACAGCAAAGACACCAUCAAGAACAUGGACGAGGAGACGAAUAUUCAGGCACCGACCAGCAUUCAACCGCUUAGCUUGAAGCCCACACACGUUGAUGGGCUGAUGAAGGAGUCCAGUUCCUUGGAGGCGCCACCAGUGGUCGCCGCUGUGGCGCCCAUUGCCAUGAAGGUGCCCACAAUUGCCACCGUUGAGGCGUUAAAUGCGUCUGUGGAUCGUGAUCGCAAGGAGUCCAUCGAGAAGAUGGACAUUUGCGAGAGCGAUGCCGCGCGUGAUCCCGAGCUGCUCAAGAAGCUUGCCAGCAUAAAGCAGGAGGCGUCACCUCAACAACAACAGCAGCAACAGUUGCAGCAGCAGCAACAACAGCAGCAGCAACUGCAACAACAACAGCAGCAGCAACAACAACAGCAACAACAGUUGCCCAUUGUGCCGCCCGUCUCGGCAGCAGCGGGACCACUGCAGGAGCCCGUCUACAUCAAGAAGGAACCAAUGGAGGACUCCAUGGACGCCACAUGCAAUCAAAACAGCAACGAGCCCCAAGAUCUCAAGGUGAAAAUUGAAAUCAAAAACGAGGAUCACAAGAUCAACACCAGCGGCAUGCCGCCCACCAGCUCAGCACCGCCGCUGCCCAAUUCCCAGCUGGUUGGACUGCAUCACAGUUCCGCCGAUGCCCUCGGCGCUGAGCCGCUGCAUCUGCAGCACUUGCAGCAUGGUCCGCCACCACAGGCGCCGCCUGGCUACCUCAUUGAGGGGCAAUUAAAGUACGGGCCGCCGGGUUCGGCGCCGCCACAGCCGCCGCCGCAGCUGCACAGUGAUCCGGGCAGCGCAGGACCGCCAGUGCCGCCCCAGAAGUAUCCUGGCGAUAUGGAGCUGAAGUACAACGAGGCCGCCGUCAAGUUCGAGGCCAGUGGCAAAUUUGCGCCACAGGAACUCAAGUAUCCGGUGCCGCCUCCGCUGGACGCCCUGAAGUACAGCCAAGAGAUGCAGGCAGCAGCUGCUGCAGCGGCCGCUGUAGGCAAGUACGAUAUGAAGUACAUGAUCGAGCAGCAAGGCAAGUAUCCGGUGGAAUUGGCGCCACCCAAACCUGGCUACCAGGAGGCGCUCAAGAUACCCGACGUCAAGCCGGGCUUUGGCCACUUGCCGCACAACAUUGGCUCGCCCUUGGACGGCAGCGGUCCUGGGCCGGGCCACAAAUAUGCGCCCGCCGGCCAGCCUGGACCGCCAGGCCCUCUGGAUCCGCAGCAACAGCCACCAGGAGCGACGCCGCCACCAACGAUUGCCAUGCCCAAGCCGCACUAUCAGCACGAUGUCCAAACACCGCCACUGGGACGACCCUUUGAGCCAGCCGGCCUUAUGCUCAAGUACGGUGAUCCGUUGGCUGCCAAAUAUGGGCCGCCACAGCCGCAGGAUUUGAAGUAUCCCAUGCCACCCGUUUCCGCUGCCGGCGGCGAGAAUUUGAUCAAGUCUUCGCCGUAUGGUCCGCCGCCAGAGAGUCCUAUUGAUGCAUCGGCACGCUCGACACCUGGCCAGGAUAGCCAGGGCAGCAAUAGCAACAGCAACUCGCAGCCACCGACGUCACAGUCGCAAGUGCAAACGCAGCCACAGCAAUUCCAGUCGCCACAUCCGUCGCCGCAUAUGCCUUCGCCCGCUGGCGGCGGCCUGCCACCCGGCAUGCAUCCACAAAAUCUCAUCUCCCCGCACGGUCACGGACCACCGCCGCCCAAUACAUCCGGCGCUGGUCCCGCGCCCCAACCGCAGCCACCGACAUCGCUUCAUCAACCGGUGGGAGGUAGCUCGGUGCCGGGCCAGGGACCGCCCAGCCUGCAGCAUGGUCUGCCCCCAGGCGGUCCAAUUGGUGUGCCGCACUCGCAGAUGUCCUCGAUUGCCUCCUCGCUACCGGGCACGCUCUCGUCGCUGGGCGCACCCACGCUCUCGACGAUGGCACCCUCGCAUCCCAUGCACCCGCAUAUGCAUCCACAUCAGCAUCCGCAUCUGCAAACGCUACAGUCGCUGCAUCGUCCACAUCCCGAUCUGCCGCCCGCGAUGCAUCCGCAUGCACCGAUGCCAAUGUCGCUGCAAGCCCCAGGACCGCCGCCACCGCACAGUCAUGCACAUCCCUUGGCGCCCGCGCAUGCCCAACCAUCACAAGUGGGUCCGGGACCCGGCGGUCCUGGACCAGCGGGCACAGUGCGCACGCCAUCGCCGGCUCAGCAACAGCAGCUGCCUCCACGCAGUCUGCACGAGCCGCCGCCCACGUCUCGGGAACCGCCUUCAUCGCACACAUCGACGGCGCCAUCGAUGGCCAGCGCUGUGAACUCGGGGCCAGGCCAAGGACCCGGACCGGGACCAGGACCAUUGCCGCAUCAGUCACCGCAUGCACAUCGCACAUCGCCGCUGCCCGGUCUCGCGCAUCCGGCUGGCCUCAUCGGUCAUCCCAUGGCCAUACAUCCGCAUUUGCCGCACCUGCCGCCAGGUCAUCCGGCGCACGCAGCUCUUGCGCAUCCCGGUCACCAUCUGCUCUCGCAUUCAAUAGCCGGUCUGAGUCAUGGCGGUGGUCCCAUUGCUUUACUUGCGGGUCCGGGCGGUUUGAGUGGCUUGCCGGAGUCGGCGCUGAGUCGCCGCACGCCGCCCAGUCAUCUGUCACAUCCGCAUGCUUCGUCGGCACCCACAACGCCUCACUCGGCGGCCAUCUCAACGAGCAUGGCGCUGACCACCACACCCAGCACGGUGCCAUCGUCCGCUUUCAGUCGCGCCAGUCCCAGCGUUCAACUCACAAGCGGUUCCGCUCCCGGAGGUCCUGGUGGACCCGGUGGCAGCAACAGCAGCACACCGAACAACUCCUCCUCCGCCGCUGCAGCUGCUGCGGCCGCUGCAGCAGCGCAUCGUGCUGCCUCGCCAGCAUCGAGUGUGGGCAGCCUGAGUCGUCAGAGUCCGCUGCAUCCGGUGCCGCAGUCCCCGCUGAGUCAUCAUCCCUCAUCGUCAGCGCUCUCCGCUGCAGCGGCAGCCGUGGCCGAGCGAGAUCGCCAUGCGCUACUACGUCAGCAGUCGCCGCACAUGACUCCUCCGCCGGUGUCAAGCGCCUCCGGUCUGAUGGCCAGUCCGCUGAGCAAGAUGUACGCACCGCAACCGGGUCAACGUGGUCUGGGUACCUCGCCGCCGCCGCAUCUGCGUCCCGGCGCAUCACCGCCAGUUAUACGGCAUCCACAGAUGCCGCUGCCAUUGCCACUUAUUGCGCCGGGCGGUGGCAUACCCCAGAUUGGUGUGCAUCCUGGACAGUCGCCGUAUCCGCAUCCGUUGCUGCACCCCUCGGUCUUCUACUCGCCACACCAUCAUAAUCCAUUCAACUCGCCCUACGGCUAUGCGCCCUACGGACCCAGCUUCCCCACCUACAUGAAACCGCCACCGCCAGCCGGUCCCCUUGAUCCGGCUGCCGUCAUGGCUGCCCAUCAUGCUGGUCUGCCCGGUCCGCCGCCCCAAGCGCGUCAGGAUGAGCAGAAUGCCGCCGCCGCAGCAGCUGUGGCUGCGGAGAAGCAGCAUUCAGCAGCAGUGGCAGCGGCCGCAGCAGCAGCGGCACAGCAACAACAGCAGCACAAGCCGCCACAGCAGCCGCAGCAACAACAGCAGCAGCAGUCGCAAGCACAGCAGCCAGGAGGUCCGCCACAGAACAAGCCGCCCACGCCAAAGACACCACAAGGCCCCGGUGGCGUGGGUGUUGGUCUGGGAGGUCCUGGCACGCCUACUGGACUACCGCCUGGUGCAUAUCCAGGUGCGCAUAUGCCGGGUUAUCCGCCGCCACCACAUCCGUCGCCGUUUGCGCCGCAGGAUGGACAGCCGCAUGGCCUCAAGCCAACCUCGCACAUGGAUGCGCUACGUGCUCAUGCGCAUUCUGCCAACUCGGCGGGUCUGGGCGGUCCACAUCAUCCAACCGAGCCAUUGCCCAUUGACAUUGAGCCGGAUCCGGAGCCAGAGAUACCCAGCCCCACACACAAUAUACCGCGAGGUCCCAGUCCCGAGGCCAAGCCCGACGACACUGAAUGCCAUCGCUCGCAGUCGGCCAUCUUUGUGCGUCAUAUUGAUCGUGGCGACUACAACUCGUGCACGCGUACGGAUUUGAUCUUCAAGCCGGUGACGGACUCCAAGCUGGCGCGCAAACGCGAGGAACGCGAUCGCAAACUGGCUGAAAAGGAGCGUGAGCGACGUCAGCAGCAGCAACAACAGCAGCAGCAGCAACAACAACAGCAGGCCGCAGCCGCACAACAAGCAGCGCAACAAGCCAAGCUCAAAGCGGAAUUGAAGCCACCAUAUGCGGAUACGCCCGCCUUGCGUCAGCUGUCGGAAUACGCGCGUCCACAUGUCGCCUUCAGUCCUGUUGAGCAGAUGGUGCCUUAUCAUCAUCCAAUGAGCCCCAUGUAUAGCAGAGAGAGAGAAUUGGAGGAGAUCAAGAACGCACAAGCGGCCGCAGCGAGUCAAUCGCGACUGGAUCCGCACUGGAUGGAAUACUACAGACGCGGCAUACAUCCCUCGCAAUUCCCGCUGUAUGCAAAUCCGGCGAUUUCACAAAUGGAACGCGAGCGUUUGGGCAUACCGCCGCCACAUCAUGUGGGCAUGGAUCCGGGCGAGCAUAUGAUACGAUUGACGAGAGAAUAUCAUGCACACUCUCAUACUCAUUUACAUUUGCCUUUGCAUCCACAGCCGCAACCACCGGAGGCCGGUUUCCAACUGCCACCGAAUGUUGGUCAAUAUCCACGGCCAAAUAUGCUUAUACCUAGGGAGCCGCAUUCGGAUGUUUUGCUGAGGAUGUCCUAUGCAGAUCAACUACAGUAUUUACAGGCCGCCGAAUUUCAACGUCAAUCGCUGCACGAGCAAUACUUCAGACAACGGCCCAGAUAAGUGGACUAAAGAGUGCUUAAAAAGAGAGAGAGAGACAGUAACUGGCAGGCAAGCAGGCUAACAGCAAUUGUAGAAUUCAAUCCCCAAGCAACUGAACAAAGACAAAAUACUCUUGGCGUGUCAACUGAGAGGAAAAUGCUUUGUGUGUGAUUUUUGUGUUCAAACGUUUACAUUUUGCUUUUCUACUGCAAACCACAAAAACAUCAACAUCAACUACUACUACAACAACAACAGCAACAAAAAAGAACAACAAUUAAAUAAGCACAUAUUAUAAACCAAAACAAGAAGCAACAAAAACAACAAUAAUAAUAUGUACCCCCAGGCUAUGUAACUAGCAACUUUAAGUUGCGCAACGCUUUGUCCAGUUUAUAUGUAAAAAAAAUCAGCUGCGUUAAGCGAAGCCUGGAAACUGCAGCUAAGAAACAAACAAAAUCCUCUUACUGACAAGGAAUCAAAAUAAGCAAAAACAAAAUGAUGACAACCUGAUGAAGGAGAUAUAUAAGAAACUAAAUGAAACAAGCAAACAAAACAUGAUGGUCGCAAUAUUUUAAGUAUCGUCUUUAUAGUGUAUAGUGUUAACAGAUGUAAACAAAAUGAAAAGCGUGUUAAUUAUCGUUUAAGCUUACGAGAAUUGAUGAUUAAGGCAAAUUGGAACAAAAUCAACAACAACAACAAAACUUAGCACACAAAUUUUUUAAGGUUUUCAAUGUGCAUAAUGUGCAACACACACAUUUUCAGAUUGUUGCACCACUUUGACUAAAUACUAAGCUCUAUUCAAAUCAAAUUAACUAGACACACUUGCAAUUAGCUGAAAGAAAACAAGAGCAAAACCAAAACACACACUAACACACAUUAAGAAAACCUUGUUAGAAACAUUGCAAGGACCUUUAGUAUAUAUUUAUGUAUAUGCCGUAGAGUUUUAUGCUAUCACUUCCUCGAUCCGGAAGAUAGAACAAUGCGCCUUUUUCCAGACCAACACAUAGCCCCGUAUAAUGGGGCUCGUUCGAGCUCUUAAUUGUCGCUACCUAUAAACUAUAUAACUGCAACAGUAACUAAUUUGGCAUGAAUGUAUAUGUAAUUUAAAGUUAUUAUACUUCCAGCCACAAUUAAACUAUAUAUAUAUAUAUAUUUAUAUUUUGUAACAUUAGUACGCUUGCUGCUUAUCCUGGAGUCUUGAAACCUUUUUUCUUGUGUUGGCUUUCUCGCUUUGCUUACUUACUACUCAUUAAUUUAUUAUUUUUGCUAUAACUAGAGUAUUAUAACUAUUAUCGAAGAAAUCAAAGCAACAAAAACAUGUUUGUAUAAAAAAGGAAACUAAAAAAUAACAAAUUAUUAGAGAAUAAGUGAUAAAUUUAAAUAUGUGAAUUAUGAAUGCGGUUUUCAAAGCAAACACAAAAAAAAAACAAAGCGAGCAAGUAAUUUGUAGAAAUCGUCCCCUCCCCCCAAAAAAAAUUCAAUCCAUGUACUAUAUUUACAUAUAUGAAGAGAGAAGGCAGCCCGCGCAUUUGUAGCAGCUGCAGUUUUUCGAGUGCUUAAUUUAUAUUAUUAGUAAUUUAUACACAACAUAUUAUAUAACAAUGAUUCGAUGAGAUGCAUGCAUUAUAAUACAAAUUAAUAAAUCUAUAUGUCAAUGACAAGGAUUCUAUUAACUAUAGGGCCAAUAAAACGAAAAACAAAAACACAAGAAAAAAUGAAACCCACACAUACACUGCGAAAAUAUAUAAUAUAUUUAAAAGCGUGCAUUAUACUAUAAAAUGAA